rnacentral:lncRNA from 1 species
AGGUCAAUGUACGGCCUUCAACACGGAGCCUUGGCUCACACCGAACAACAAGCUAUAAAGGGCCCCAAAAUUACUAGUGUAAAACCAUGCAAACGGGAAAACCAACGGUCUAAUCUAUAUAAAAUUAAAAAAACGAGAAACGAGAAACACGUAUAAAUUACAUAAACAAACGACAACUGCUGUACAUCAGAUUCCUGACUUAGG